rnacentral:sRNA from 1 species
CAGACGGUUCUGGAGUCUGAAAUCCUCUGCUGAUUUACUAGACAGGUACAGCAUGAGCAACAGACAGUGCUUCCACUUUCUUUUCAGUGUGCUUCAAAUCUGAACAGAAAAAAAAUUUCCAGUUUCCUUGUACAUUCAGACUCUCUAUUUCUUGAAAUGAUCCUGA